GGCUUUAAAUGAACACCAAAGGCUUCAAAUUGGCUAAAUUAAAAUGGGCUAAGAUCCUUGGUUGGGACCCAAGCAAGUCCAUGAUAAGAUGAACCAAAUUCUAUAAUAAAUAGAGAAUAAUAUGAUUCCUAUAAUGUGGUUUUAGGAAUCAACGAUUUGCCACCAAGACUUUGGAUAACGAAUUUGCUGUAAGUAAUCUGUCUUAAUCUUAUCGUAGAUCUUGUAUUACGUUUUAUAAGAUGAACCAGUGUUUUUCAUACAAUUUGAAUUGUAUACAUGAUUUGUGAAGAAAGUAAGUAACCUGUCCUAAUCCUGUUAUGGAUCAUGUCAUGUUAUUAAUGUUUCCUAAGCAUUUAUUUUAAGUAUAUAUGUUUCAUGCAUGAUAUGUUACAAUGCAUAAGUAACUUGCAUGAUCCCAGAAGCUAUGGCUAUGUAUGCAACAUGAUGAUACUGAUAUUUUAAUCAUGCAUGUAAGUUUAUAAAGUCUUAGCUAGCCCAGAGGCACUAUAAUGGGUUCAAAGAUGCUACUGAGAAUGACUGAGCCGCCAAUGGCUGAAUAGUAACUGGGCCUGCCCCGCCAGUGGCUGAAUAGUAACUGGGCCUGCCCCGCCAGUGGCUGAAUAGUAACUGAGCUGGCCCCGCCAGUGGUCGAGUCUGACUUCGCAGUAGCAUCCGAGAGAAUGGACCACGGCAUGCCGGGGGGCACGGUUUCAUAUGCAUAUAUUAUAAAAAAUUUUGUGAUUUGCACUACUGCUUUGUUUAAAUUGCUUACAUGUUAUGCCAUGAUGAUUAUUAGAUAAACAUGCAUGUCAGCUUCUCAAAACCUGAUUUACAUGUUUAGCCUACUGGUUGAUCCGGUAGGAUUAUGCAGGAUUACUUACUGAGCCGUGUAGCUCACAUCUGUUUAUGCUUCGUUUUCUUUCAGAUCC
rnacentral:lncRNA from 1 species